rnacentral:lncRNA from 1 species
GCUCUCUCUUUCUCUAAGUACAGGCAGCCCACGAGCAGUAGCAAGCAGAGCAAUGGCGAGCAGCCAACAAACAGUAUAAGCAGCAACAAAGCUAAGCUGUUUGUGGCGAGGCCGGACGGCACGGGGACGAACGACAGCGAAUUCAGGACGGCACCAAUGCUCUCCAGUUCAGAACUACAAUUCGCAGAGAGAUUUUUUGCAUGAGAUUUACUUUACUUUGUGAAAAGGUAGGGUGAAAUAAAAUGAAGCACCUCGGUGGAGCAACUUAAAAAAUGUAUCGACAAAUCAGCACACAUAAACAAACAAGAUCGCCAUUGAACUCUGAAAAAGAUGGUGCAGGGCAGGACAAUGGUGCAGGGCAGAAUCAGCACACAUAAACAAACAAGAUCGCCAUAGUUUCAAGUAGCAGUUUCAGGUAGCAGCAUUUUCAAACAGCAACAGUUUCAGGUAGCAGUUUCAAACACUUCCAUAGUUCCAUAGUUUUCAUUAGCAAUACAUUUUCAAACAGCAGCAGUUUCAGGUACCAGUUCCAGGUAAACACCAACAUUUUCAUUUGCAAUAGUUUCAGGUAGCAGUUUCAAACACUUCCAUAGUUCCAUAGUUUUCAUUAGCAAUACAUUUUCAAACAGCAGCAGUUUCAGGUACCAGUUCCAGGUAAACAACAACAUUUUCAUUUGCAAUAGUUUCAGGUAGCAGUUUCAAACACUUCCAUAGUUCCAUAGUUUUCAUUAGCAAUACAUUUUCAAACAGCAGCAGUUUCAGGUACCAGUUCCAGGUAAACAACAACAUUUUCAUUUGCAAUAGUUUCAGGUAGCAGUUUCAAACACUUCCAUAGUUCCAUAGUUUUCAUUAGCAAUACAUUUUCAAACAGCAGCAGUUUCAGGUACCAGUUCCAGGUAAACACCAACAUUUUCAUUUGCAAUAGUUUCAGGUAGCAGUUUCAAACACUUCCAUAGUUCCAUAGUUUUCAUUAGCAAUACAUUUUCAAACAGCAGCAGUUUCAGGUACCAGUUCCAGGUAAACACCAACAUUUUCAUUUGCAAUAGUUUCAGGUAGCAGUUUCAAACACUUCCAUAGUUCCAUAGUUUUCAUUAGCAAUACAUUUUCAAACAGCAGCAGUUUCAGGUACCAGUUCCAGGUAAACACCAACAUUUUCAUUUGCAAUAGUUUCAGGUAAACAGCAGCAGCAGUUUCAGGUACCUUCUUCAGGUGCAGAGCGGCACUAGCUCCAUCAGAGGAGCGGCAACUCCAACAGAAGAGCAGCAGCAGCAGCUCAGACAUAGGAGAC